AUUCUCUUAGUACAAACAGUACGAGUGACUUCCAAUCACUUAAUCUUGGUUGGACCCCAAGAGAGAAUA
rnacentral:tRNA from 1 species